CUUAAUUAGACUUUCUCCGCCUCUCUUCCUCUAUCUAUUUUCCUCUUGAGUUUUCGAAAAUAUUGAUUUUCACUUUUGGAUCUCUCUAUGUUGUUGAUUUAAAGUUUAACAACUAAGGUUUUCUUAUUCGUUGGAUUGAUUGAUGGAAUAAGAAUAAGAAGAAGGUUAUUCCGAUGGGGCAUUGAUUGCAGAAACGUCUUCUCAUAUGAAGUCCAUUGACAUAAAACACUUGCUGGAAGCUGAUUUGGAAAAAGUUUAUGAAGAAACAUCAGGUUGGAUACAUUAAGUGGCUAGAGUUACAUGAAGGCUAACUCUCAACUGAGAAUUAAGGAACUCAACACACAUGAUGCCCUAAAUGUCCAGUUUACAACUCUUACCAGAGCCAUAAUUAAUUGCUUAUGCACUCGACGAUGAAAAUAUGUAUCACCCCACUAAAAUGAAUCUUAUUCAAAUAGCCAUGCACCACGAAGAGCCUAUACUGUUUCCUUAUUUAAGCAUGAAUAAUACCGGCAAACUGAUUUCCAUUAAGUUCACAAAAUGAGUCCAAAUUGAUGAUCCCAUAAAACCAACAAAAAAGAAAAAGAAAAAAGGACUAGAUAGAGGAACUAUUACAGUGAGUCCAUACCAUAUUAUUAAGAUUUCUUGCCUAGAUAUUCCGUUUUCUCAAUAUUGCUCUGUAUCCUCAAUAGUCAAAAGCAUAGGCAUGAUGCAUGAAGAGAUGACAUGAAAAACAUGUGAGAAAGCAAUACCAUGAAGUACAAAAGUUAAUGCAAGAACCUUGAAUUGCUCAGGUUGGUGUCAUUCAGUGGGAUCAUUCACUUUGUACAACUCUACCUCUUAUAUUUUGAUUUAAUGUGAAUUGAAUUCAAAGGCAUACCGUAUAUUUGCACACUAUCAAGUACACCAUUACGGGCUUCUUAAAUCUGGUGUUAAUGGUACUGGUGUUCUCCAAGUUGUCUAUGUUACUCUUUCCAUUAUGGCAUCAUCUACGUACCUAGAUUUGCAUAAUAAACAUUUGAAAUUAGCGUGGAAUUCGGACGUUAGAUUUUAUGGGGAGUCCUACUCAUUUCUAAGCUUGCUACCCAUGGAAGUUUACAACUCACCGCUUCUGGAUUCAUUUGUGCAGGAUUAGUUUUAGAAAUGUACGGUGGUGGUCCAUUAGCACCAUGAUCCACUCCGUCAUAUACCAUGGCUUGGGCAGAGCUAGACAUAAUUUUGAACACCGUUUGUUGGGAUUACCCAUUUAUUACCUUCAUUAAAUUUUGUCUUAUCAUAUAUUUUAGGUAUUGACUAAAUACAACCCACGAUUAGGUUAAAGUGCAAUCCUCGCUAAAUACGACCCCAUAUAUAUAUAUGUAAUUAGCCAAAUGUAA